rnacentral:piRNA from 1 species
UAAUAACAUAGUUAACAUAGUGUCCACAGUC